ACGGAAGGCAGCAGUGAGGAAUAUUGGUCAAUGGGCGAGAGCCUGAACCAGCCAAGUAGCGUGAAGGAUGACUGCCCUAUGGGUUGUAAACUUCUUUUGUUCGGGAAUAAAGGAGCCUACGCGUAGGCUUUUGCAUGUACCGUUCGAAUAAGCAUCGGCUAAUUCCGUGCCAGCAGCCGCGGUAAUACGGAAGAUGCGAGCGUUAUCCGGAUUUAUUGGGUUUAAAGGGUGCGCAGGCGGCACGUUAAGUCAGCGGUGAAAUGUCGGGGCUCAACCCGGGCACUGCCGUUGAAACUGGCGAGCUUGAGUACGGAUGAAGUCGGCGGAAUGUGAUGUGUAGCGGUGAAAUGCUUAGAUAUGUCACAGAACACCGAUUGCGAAGGCAGCUGACUAAUCCGCAACUGACGCUCAGGCACGAAAGCGUGGGGAUCGAACAGGAUUAGAUACCCUGGUA
rnacentral:rRNA from 1 species